rnacentral:rRNA from 1 species
AGUCACUGACAUUAGAUACCCGGGUAGUCCUAGGCGUAAAUGAUGCGAGUUAAGUGUGGGGGCAUCUACGAGAUGGCCCUGUGCUGUAGGGUAGCCGUUAAACUCGCUGCCUGGGAGUACGGUCGCAAGGCUGAAACUUAAAGGAAUUGGCGGGGAGCACCACAAGAGGUGGAGGCUGCGGUUCAAUUGGACUCAACGCCGGAAACUCAUCGGGAGCGACAGCAGUAUGAUUGCCAGGUUGAUGACCUUGCUUGACAAGCUG